GUUUGUUUCCUCAAAUCCGGUCAUGGGAUUUUUCUCUUCCUCAGAGAGGCAGCGGGAUCCGUUACUUCCAAUUCACCGCUUUCCCAGCACCAUUUCAAAUGCGCUUUGGGGUGAAUGUGGAUUCUUUCAUUCAUUUUAUAUUGUGAGCGACUACUAUGAGCCAGGCUCUGAGCUAAAUGCUAGGAAUGAGAAUACACCCAGCCUUGCAAGAGCAUUUGAAUUGUUGUCGACUGAACACAAAAGUGAGGGUGAGAUUUAUUGCCCUGCCCACCAGGUGAUACUGUCAAUAUGUAGCUGUUUAUCCCUGAAACAGGGGUCCUGGUAAGGAAUGGAAAGGAUGAGACAGAGCAUUUUAUUAUUUUAUUGGCAGAAAGGGAAAAGUUACAGUCAGCCCAGAAGGUGCAUCUUUUGCUAUUUCUAUCAGUUUUCUCUAAUGCUUAUGAUGAUGGAAAUGCAUAGCUCGCUGAGUGGAUGGAAAUUCAGGCUCCAACUAUGGCCAAAACCAAUGACCAGUAACGUGGAAGUAGUCAAGAAUAUACAAAACACAAUGAAGAGACAGAAACACUUUAAAGCAACCAGUUAUUUUAUUCAAUCAUUUCCUGAGCAUGCUGGAUGCAAAGUCCAGGUAUGAUGCUGGGGGUAAGAGACACAGAAAUAAUUAAAGCAGUCCUUAACCUCAACAACUAAAAGUCUGUGAGCAAAGACUGAGACCUGUACAGACUAGCGAUAUAGAACAUAGAGUAUUCUGGCUGGGCGUCGUGGCUCAUGCCUGUAAUCUCAAUGCUUUGGGAGACCAAGGUGGGAGGAUUGCUUGAGCCCAGGCAACAUAGCAAGACUUCAUCUGUAAGAAAAAUGUGCAAAAAUCAGCCAGACAUGGUGGCAUACACCUGUAGUCCCAACUGCUUGGGAGGCUGAGGCAAGAGGAUCACUUGAGCCCAGGAGAUCAAGGCUGCAGUGAACCAUGAUCGCACCACUCCACUCCAGCCUGAGCAACGGAGUGAGACUCUGUCUCUAAAAAAUAUAAUAAUAAUAAUAAAGAGUAUUCUAAGAGUGA